rnacentral:rRNA from 1 species
CUGCGUGCUUAACACAUGCAAGUCGAACGCUGAAGCCUGGUGCUUGCACCGGGUGGAUGAGUGGCGAACGGGUGAGUAACACGUGAGUAACCUGCCCCUGACUUCGGGAUAAGCCCGGGAAACUGGGUCUAAUACCGGAUACGACUGCCGGACGCAUGUCUGGUGGUGGAAAGUUUUUUCGGUUGGGGAUGGGCUCGCGGCCUAUCAGUUUGUUGGUGAGGUAAUGGCUCACCAAGACGACGACGGGUAGCCGGCCUGAGAGGGCGACCGGCCACACUGGGACUGAGACACGGCCCAGACUCCUACGGGAGGCAGCAGUGGGGAAUAUUGCACAAUGGGGGAAACCCUGAUGCAGCGACGCAGCGUGCGGGAUGACGGCCUUCGGGUUGUAAACCGCUUUCAGCAGGGAAGAAGCGCAAGUGACGGUACCUGCAGAAGAAGUACCGGCUAACUACGUGCCAGCAGCCGCGGUAAUACGUAGGGUACGAGCGUUGUCCGGAAUUAUUGGGCGUAAAGAGCUCGUAGGUGGUUGGUCACGUCUGCUGUGGAAACGCAACGCUUAACGUUGCGCGUGCAGUGGGUACGGGCUGACUAGAGUGCAGUAGGGGAGUCUGGAAUUCCUGGUGUAGCGGUGAAAUGCGCAGAUAUCAGGAGGAACACCGGUGGCGAAGGCGGGACUCUGGGCUGUAACUGACACUGAGGAGCGAAAGCAUGGGGAGCGAACAGGAUUAGAUACCCUGGUAGUCCAUGCCGUAAACGUUGGGCACUAGGUGUGGGGGGCAUUCCACGUUCUCCGCGCCGUAGCUAACGCAUUAAGUGCCCCGCCUGGGGAGUACGGUCGCAAGGCUAAAACUCAAAGGAAUUGACGGGGGCCCGCACAAGCGGCGGAGCAUGCGGAUUAAUUCGAUGCAACGCGAAGAACCUUACCAAGGCUUGACAUACACCGGACCGUCCUGGAAACAGGUCCUCUUCUUUGAAGCUGGUGUACAGGUGGUGCAUGGUUGUCGUCAGCUCGUGUCGUGAGAUGUUGGGUUAAGUCCCGCAACGAGCGCAACCCUCGUUCUAUGUUGCCAGCACGUGAUGGUGGGAACUCAUAGGAGACUGCCGGGGUCAACUCGGAGGAAGGUGGGGAUGACGUCAAAUCAUCAUGCCCUUUAUGUCUUGGGCUUCACGCAUGCUACAAUGGCUGGUACAGAGAGAGGCGAACCCGUGAGGGCAAGCGAAUCCCUUAAAGCCAGUCUCAGUUCGGAUCGUAGUCUGCAAUUCGACUACGUGAAGUCGGAGUCGCUAGUAAUCGCAGAUCAGCAACGCUGCGGUGAAUACGUUCCCGGGCCUUGUACACACCGCCCGUCAAGUCACGAAAGUCGGUAACACCCGAAGCCGGUGGCCUAACCGUAAGGAGGGGGCCGUCUAAGGUGGGACUGGUGAUUGGGACU